UACGUAGGUGGCGAGCGUUGUCCGGAUUUACUGGGCGUAAAGGGAGCGUAGGCGGACUUUUAAGUGAGAUGUGAAAUACCCGGGCUCAACUUGGGUGCUGCAUUUCAAACUGGAAGUCUAGAGUGCAGGAGAGGAGAAUGGAAUUCCUAGUGUUGCGGUGAAAUGCGUAGAGAUUAGGAAGAACACCAGUGGCGAAGGCGAUUCUCUGGACUGUAACUGACGCUGAGGCUCGAAAGCGUGGGGAGCGAACAGGAUUAGAUACCCU
rnacentral:rRNA from 1 species